AUUUAUAUUUUGAGAGAACAUCUCAUUUACUCGAAUAGUUCCAACAAUGCCAAAAGCUCUUGAUUUGAUGUCAAACUUUUAUGUUUUAUUAUUUCAUAUAAAAUUUCAUAAGAUGUCCACUUUGGUAUUUUCAUUUUGUUUUUGUUUUUGGGUUUGAAGUGUCAACAGAAAACGAAAUAAGGAAGAAAGUGUGGGGUGGACGGAGUAAGCAAGAAGAGGGAGGCAAUAAUACGAUGAAGAGAUCUUCUUCGAGGGCUUGUAGACUAUCCUCUUCGGACAAUUUGUCUACCUCUUAUACUUAUGGGGACACCAGCUUUGAUGAGCCGGAGCCGGAGCAGGAGCAGUGCCUGCCCACGUACGAUCCCCUCUCACACGCCGCCAUGAGAGAGCAGUCUCGUGUCAGAUCCGCCCACAACGCCAUCCACCUUAUACCUCUACUCCUUAUUCUCUCCGCCAUCGUCCUCUGGUUCUUUUCCCACCCAGAACCCCAGUUAUGAUAAUUGCUGUCAAUGUCGGUAGCAGCUGUACACAGAUUAGCAGCUUUCCUCUUCCUUACAUGGAGUUAAAGAGCUUAAGUGUGGAACAACUGGUGCACCACGAACCAAGAUUUUCUCUCUAAGACUAAUAUAUGUGGACGAGACGAUAGGACCUGUUUUGACUUGUUAUACAAAUCUUUGAUUUUUUUGUUUUCAAUUAUUAUUUUUUUUUAUUUUUUAUUUUUUUACUGAGAAGGGGUGUGUCUGUGUGCCUGUCUGAUUACGUUUAGAGAAAUUUAGAGAAAUUUUGCCGAAAAUAAUGAUCACUUUUAAUUUUUAUUAAGUUCAUUUUAUUGGUAUUGCAA